CCUACGGGAGGCAGCAGUGAGGAAUAUUGGUCAAUGGUCGGGAGACUGAACCAGCCAAGCCGCGUGAGGGAUGAAGGUACAGAGUAUCGUAAACCUCUUUUGUCAGGGAACAAAGGCGGGGACGUGUCCCCGGAUGAGUGUACCUGAAGAAAAAGCAUCGGCUAACUCCGUGCCAGCAGCCGCGGUAAUACGGAGGAUGGGAGCGUUAUCCGGUUUUAUUGGGUGAAAGGGGUGCGCAGGCGGUCUGUUAAGUCAGCGGUAAAAGCCCGGGGCUCAACCCCGGCCCGCCGUUGAAACUGGCAGUCUCGAGUUGGAGAGAAGUAUGCGGAAUGCGCGGUGUAGCGGUGAAAUGCAUAGAUAUCGCGCAGAACUCCGAUUGCGAAGGCAGCAUGCCGGCUCCACACUGACGCUGAGGCACGAAAGCGUGGGUAUCGAACAGGAUUAGAUACCCUGGUAGUC
rnacentral:rRNA from 1 species